UCCUGUCGGCUUCUCGCCGCUGUCCGCCCGCCCGCCCCCCGCUCCGCCCCGCCCCGCCGGCUUCGUGCUGCUGUGCGCCGGAAGACGACGACGACGAGGCUGGCGUCCUCCGCUUGGCUCCGCUGCCCGCCGAGUCGCAGCCGCACGUGGACGGGAGCUCGACACCGCACGCCGCCGCCGCCCCGCGGAGGAGGAGGAGGCCACGGUGGCCGGCUGUGCCGGCGGGAGAGGGGGAAGAGGAGGCCGGCGAGCCGGUUGCCGCCGAGUCGCAGCUGCCCCACCACCCUUCCCCGCUCAAGCUCGUCGGAACCGUCGCCGUGUGCCCACACGGAGGAUUCCAUGGGAAUCAUCGUGGAACAUGCCGAUCAAAGGCCUGCCAAGAUACAACAAAAAGAAAAACCGCCACCCUCGCCGCACUUCCUUCCCUCAGGAGAGAAGAUUUUCACGUCGUUGCUCUGUCCAUGGCCGCAUCGAUGCCAGCGGCGACAACGUCGUCGCUACGGAUUGUGGUCGUCUUCUCCAAUGUCACCGUGGACGAAACCAUCUUGGGCGCUGAAAGGAGAGGGAACCCCGCCGCUGCCGCGGAGGAGGAGGAUUAGACCACGGUGACCGCUGGAAG
rnacentral:lncRNA from 1 species